rnacentral:rRNA from 1 species
GACGAACGCUGGCGGCGUGCUUAACACAUGCAAGUCGAACGGAAAGGCCCUGCUUUUGUGGGGUUCUCGAGUGGCGAACGGGUGAGUAACACGUGAGUAACCUGCCCUUGACUUUGGGAUAACUUCAGGAAACUGGGGCUAAUACCGGAUAGGAGCUCCUGCUGCAUGGUGGGGGUUGGAAAGUUUCGGCGGUUGGGGAUGGACUCGCGGCUUAUCAGCUUGUUGGUGGGGUAGUGGCUUACCAAGGCUUUGACGGGUAGCCGGCCUGAGAGGGUGACCGGCCACAUUGGGACUGAGAUACGGCCCAGACUGCUACGGGAGGCAGCAGUGGGGAAUAUUGCAGAAGGGGCGGAAGCCUGAUGCAGCAACGCCGCGUGCGGGAUGACGGCCUGCGGGGGGUAAACCGCUUUCGCCUGUGACGAAGCGUGAGUGACGGUAAUGGGUAAAGAAGCACCGGCUAACUACGUG